AGAGUUUGAUCCUGGCUCAGGAUGAACGCUGGCGGCGUGCUUAACACAUGCAAGUCGAACGAGGUCCAUCCAAACUUGUUUGGGGAAGAUCUAGUGGCGAACGGGUGCAUAACACGUGAGAAGCCUGCCUCAGUCUCUGGGAUAACAGUUGGAAACGACUGCUAAUACCGGAUGCCGUCACACCAUCACAUGUUGGAGUGACGAAAGAUUUAUCGGAUUGAGAGGGUCUCGCGGCCUAUCAGCUAGUUGGAGAGGUAACGGCUCACCAAGGCAUCGACGGGUAGCUGGUCUGAGAGGAUGAUCAGCCACACUGGGACUGAGACACGGCCCAGACUCCUACGGGAGGCAGCAGUGGGGAAUCUUGCACAAUGGGCGAAAGCCUGAUGCAGCAACGCCGCGUGCGGGAAGAAGGCCCUAGGGUUGUAAACCGCUUUCAGUAGGGAAGAAAAUGACGGUACCUACAGAAGAAGUCGCAGUCGCC
rnacentral:rRNA from 1 species